GACGUAGGGUCCAAGCGUUGUCCGGAUUUAUUGGGCGUAAAGAGCUCGUAGGCGGUUUGUCGCGUCGGCCGUGAAAUCUCCACGCUUAACGUGGAGCGUGCGGUCGAUACGGGCAGACUUGAGUUCGGUAGGGGAGACUGGAAUUCCUGGUGUAGCGGUGAAAUGCGCAGAUAUCAGGAGGAACACCGGUGGCGAAGGCGGGUCUCUGGGCCGAUACUGACGCUGAGGAGCGAAAGCGUGGGGAGCGAACAGG
rnacentral:rRNA from 1 species